UACGGAGGUGGCAAGCGUUGUUCGGAAUUACUGGGCGUAAAGGGCGCGUAGGCGGCAAGGCAAGUCAGGUGUGAAAGCCCCGAGCUUAACUCGGGAAUUGCAUCUGAAACUGCUGUGCUUGAGUUCUGGAGGGGGUAGUGGAAUUCCCAGUGUAGCGGUGAAAUGCGUAGAUAUUGGGAGGAACACCUGCGGCGAAGGCGGCUCUCUGGGACGGUACUGACGCUGAGACGCGAAAGCGUGGGGAGCGAACAGG
rnacentral:rRNA from 1 species